UUAUCUUUUUUUUUUGCUUUUCUUUCUUUUUUUACUUCUCCUCCGUCUUCAGGUCGUCUCCGUCGCUUCUCUGUUACCAGCUCGCCGUCGCGUCUCACCUUCGCCUUGGGUCUUCUUCAUCCUUGUCGACUCAGUCUUGGCUCGUGGUGGUGAUUGAGUUCAUCUUCAGGCCAGCAUACGAACUCAGAGGUAGUGCUUCAUCCUCUGCCGUCACGUCUCACCUCCGUCGCAUCUCUUGCUUCCCCUGAGUCCUACUGGAGCUGGAGCUUAAUCGCCUAGAGAACGAACUCAGAGGUAGUGCUUGAUCUAGUUCUUUAAUGUGUCGAUUCAGAUCUAAGGACUUUGUUUUUUUUUUACUUUGUUCUUGAAUGGUUGGUUUCUCACAUAAGGAUCGAGAGUUAGGGGAAGCACAUACUGAGAUCAGAGCGUUGAGGUUGUCUGAGAGGCAAAGAGAGAAAGCUGUUGAAGAGGUGUGUAGUUGUUGUUAUUAAUCUUCAUCACUUGCUUUUAGUUUCUAUAUAAUGGGUCCGAUUGGUAAUGGCUGUAGCUUUAAAUUUUUUGCUGUAGAAAAAAAUCUGUAGAUUUUUUGCUGUGGCUUUAAAUUUUACUGCUGUAGAAUUUUAUGAAAGCACUAAAAAUUUGCUUUGGAUAUUUGGCUCUGCAGAGCACUUGUACAGCUGUAGGUUAUUUCUAGAGCUGUGGCUUCAAAAAAAAUUUAAAGCUUGAUUGCUCUGAAUUUGGUGCUUUAGAAAUAAAUAAGGCUGUGGACAGCACCUACAGCAAACCUACAGCAACUACCAAUCACCCCCAAUGUCUCUCAUGUUUAUUUUGUACUUAUAGCUUACGAAUGAGCUUACUAAGUUGGAGGAGAAGCUUAAGUUAACUGAAUCUCUUCUCCAAGGCAAAGUAAUUAUUGAAAACCCUCCUUAAGCAUCAAUUCUUUUUUUUAUUUCAGCUGGUUAUUUGAUUAUGGUGAACAAUGUUGCAGAAUCUAGAAAUCAGGAAGAUCAAUGAGUAAAAGAAGGCCUCUAUGGCUGCUCAGUUUGCUGCUGAAGCCACUUUAAGAAGGGUCCAUGCUGCUCAAAAAGAUGAUGACAUGCCUCCUAUUGAAGCCAUUCUAGCUCCUUUAGAAGCUGAACUUAAGCUUGCACGCUCUGAGGUAUUUUAGUCUCAUAUUUAGUUUGUGAUUGUCUGCUGCAUUAUCAAAGAAGGUCUUAAUGGCGCUCAUAGCUUUAUUACACAUGUGAAUAUAACUCCGGUCGGUUCAGGACUUUAAACACGGCAAAGCCAUAGCCAAAGACUAAAAAGGUAUUGCAUUCUGAGACUUGGAAGCAUGCGUUUUCUGAAUUUGCUUGCAAAUUGUUAGGAUUGUUUGAUUGGUUUGAAUAUGCUUGUUUGAGUUAGGUUGUGGUUAGAAUUUUUUUUUUUUAAGAAUCCUUAUUAAGAAACUACCAUUGGAGGCACAAAAUCAAAUAGUUUCUUAAGUAAAGUUCUUAAGUCCACUAAAGUACAUUUAUAUACUUAAAUAAUCCUUAAGAAACACAAAUGGGUUUUUGUGGAUAAUCAUGCUCUUAGGUUUACCGGAUGAACCUUGAAAUUCACCCCACCCUUUAGGACCAAUCAAAGUGACACAUAGAUUAUUAAUUAAAAAACAUUAAAUUAAAUAAAAAAUAGCUACAAAAAAUAAAAACGCUAAUUUUAACGACGCUAACGCUUCCAGCUAAACCCUAAACCCUAAAUCUUAAAUUCUAAACCCUAUACCCUAAAUUCUAAACCCAAAUCAAAACCCCUAAACCCAAAUCCUAUAUCCUAAACCCAAAUUCAAACCCCUAAACCCAAAUUAUAUACUCUAAACCCAAAAAUAAGACUAUAAACCUAAACUCUAUACCCUAAACCCAAAUCCUAGAGGGUGAAGUGAAUUUAAAAGUUCUAAAAGGUGAAGUGAAUUUAAAAGUUCACCAUAGGGGAGUCAAACCUAAGUUUUGUUCUAUAUUUAAUUAAAAAAUAAAAAUAAUCGUACCGUGUUGAUUACCUUUGGAAAAACUACUUGGGAUCUUUUUUUCUUUAUGUAGUCUAUAUGUUGUACCACUCGUUUCUACUUGUUAGAUUUUUCAAUUCAAGAAAAUAUUUGGACGGUCCAAUUAACAUAGAAGUACAUUUUGAUAUAAUGAUUGGAUUGCUAAAAUAUCUGAUAAUUGAUCAAGUUGAUGAGUGAAGGGGAAUGAUGCACGCAAGCCGUUGGUUGGGUUGGUUAGAGUCAUCCUGAGAUAUUGUUAGGAAUGUUAUCAGUAGAGGAAUUUUUUUUUUUUUUUUGGGGUAACAAAGGAACUUUAAUUUGUCUUUAUGCUUCUUUUUAUAUAAUCAUGUGAUGAUGCAAGACAGCAUGAGGAUUAUUUUGGUUUGCAAAAUAAAUUGUUCGUGGAUCAUCUUUUCACAAACAGAAAACACGAUAGAUAUAAAUUUGCUUAUCAUCUGGUCUUAAAGCCUACCUCUCCUAUAGACUCAACGUCGUUCUCGUCUCCCUGCCUUUCUGCUGAGCUUUUAUUCAGUGUUUGAAUGGGAGCACAGGAUAAACACAGAUCUCCUGUCCUGUUUUUAUUUUCAUAUAUUUUAACCAUUCACACUUUUCUGUAUGAUAAAUCUAAAAAGCAGGAGGACUGCAUUGGAUACUAAUUUUUUUGUCUUCUUGUGAUAAAAGGCAGGCGUCCUGCAUGUUCUUCUUCCCGCAUAGAAAUAGGAGCUGUACAUGCAAUGCUUCUUUUAACUAACCAAUAGAUAUCAACACACACCAUUGCACUCAUUCAUUCUUGAGAAUGAGAAUAGACAUCCACGAAAUCAAGGCUGAGAAAUAUGGCAUAGAGCAAGAGUCAAAAGACAUUAAAAGAGACAAGCAUUAGUGUUCACUAUUAUAAUUGAGUUCGGCGAUAAAACUAUUACUAGACGUACCAGAGGGCUUGCAUUUCUGAACCAAAAGAUAUGACGUCAAAUCGCCGACAAAGUACAACAUUUUCUGAUGAAGAAGAUAUAAAUCUACUUACUGAAACGUCAGCACGGGUAAGUAUAUAAUAUUUUUUUUUUAAUGUUUUAGAAUAGUUAAUAAAUACUAAAAUAAAAUGAUUCAAAAUUGUGUAAAUUUAUAGAGGGAAGACAAUUUUAAAUGGAAUCCUAACCGAGAACGAGUAUUUAUUGAAUUGUACGAUCGAGCGAUUUCCAUGAGCGAUUAUCGUUUCAAAGAUCCUACACCCGCUGGUAAAGAGUUUGUCGUUCAUAAGUUCAACCAAAUAUACAAUAUCAGCGUAAACUACCGGUUCUUCAAAGAAAAACUUGAUCAGCUGAAAAGAAAAUACAAAAAGUAGAAGCAUCUAAUGAAAAAUUCUACGGGUAUUUCGGUUGAUCCUACGACAUCUGUGAUAUCUGCGUCUGAUUCAUGGUGGAAAGAUCGUGAAGUAGAUAGGAUUGUAAAAUCAUUUAAACGAAAACCACCGGAGCUUUGGGAUGUGAUGCAACGAUGUUUUGUAUUAUACGACGUCCAAUCACAGUCUCAAUACUCUUUGCACCAAAGAAGAGAAGAGUUGCUGAAUGAUGGUCAAAAUAAUGAUGAAACUGAAACAUAUGGCGGUGAUAUGCAAGACACUCAGGUCCAGGAGACACAAGAAAAUGAAGAAGUCUAUCGCGUAAAUAUUGAUGAUGAAAUGCGUCAUUCAAAUCAGUUCACCCGUGAGAAUUUGCGUCAGAAUUC